GAAUGCAAACAAAAGAACUUGAAAUAACAAAUGCAUUAAAAUUGCAGAGUAGUUUAAAUAAUAACAGAUUAAGGAGUAAGGUAUUUAUUUAUAUACAACUAAAGAUCUUCAGAUUAAAAUCUAGAAAUAGGGGGGAGAAUAUACGACACAACCAACAGAAUAUUUAUGCUUGGAACUUUCCAUCAAAUUGCAGAUUUUGGACAUUAAUAUGAGCCACAAAUUUCCCGAAUACCAGAUGGAGAUACUUUGCCAAAUGUGCACAUUCUUAGAAACACUGACCGCAGAACAUGAUGGUUCCAAUAAUGUAUUCUGGUGCCCGAUGAAAUCCUUGGAGGAAAUGAACUCCUAUUCCUAUAUACCAUAAAUAACAGAAAGAAACAGUAAAAGAGUACAUGAAUAACUCUCUUUAGAUGUAGAUCAUCAAAUCAAACACGCCCGCAGAUUGAUGAAAAACAGAGAAGGCAGCGAGAAGAGAUAUACUCCACAAUUCUGUUCAGCAAUGUUGUGCAUUAAAUCAAGAGGACUUUUGUGGAACAAAUAUAAACACGUAAAUUAGCAGUAAUUGUCAUUGUCACCACAUCAAACCAACCAAAGCUUGAUGCUACAAAGAAAUUAAUUGCUUCAACACGGUAAGCCUGAUCAAAACCAGAUAACAAAAUACAAAAUAUUCCAACGAUGAAUUUAGAAAGGAGUUAAGUGUCACAUACUCACAUGUCCAAUAACUCCCACAUGACCUUUUUCAAGAUUUUUGGACUUUCCACCUAGUACAAGGAGUUUGAUAAUUUGAGAUUGAGUAAUCUUUCCCCUCGUGUUAAUUAAGCAAUCAAAGAUGAUAUUUUGAUUCAAUACACAGACAUCAACAAAUCCUAAUAAUUCCAAUAAACCUAGAUGAACACAUCCUCACAUGGUCCAUGUUUUGUAACUACACUGCAUUCACAUUUGAUGGCUUUUAGAGCUUUUCACAAAUUCAAUAUUGAAUCAUGUGACAUGCCAAUGUCCAACAUUUUAUGAAACACAAGUUCAAAUAAAGUGUUUCAGAAUAGAGUUAUUGGUAGCCAAAUGAAAACUGAUAUAUCGAAGGUGAUAAAAUAAAAAUGAAUUCACAAACUGAGGAAGAUAGAUCCCGAAGAAAUCAUGUGGUCAAAAUUUUCUUCUACAAACACAGAAACCAUCAUUACCAUAUCACACCAUCAAAACACAACUUCCAAUCCAUAACAAGUACAUUUAAGGAAAAAAUGGCAUGUUUCAUCCUAAGGCUCAAAGCAUGUUCCUUGACAAUCUCGCCACAGCUUUCGCAGUCCAUAUACUCCAUGUGACACCCACGUGGAAUUUAAGGAAUCAAGAAAACCAACACUCCCAGAACACACCGGAGAUAAUUUAUACAAAGAAGCAGAUACACUUAUCUCCGAUUUCUCCACUAUAGACCAACUAAAAAGGUGGGACUGUGAUUCAGAAUUAAGAAAACUUUUGUUGUACAGCAAACUUACUCUGUCAGCAACAGACAAUAAAUGUACAGAAAUUAAACUCUGACAGAUAGGUUGUAGAAAAAGAACCAAGAAAAAAGAAUAUAGCAUAAUUUUCCAAACCAAGUUGCAGAUCAGCAUCACAAAGACAGGCCCACCAAUUUGUCCGAGUGUCUCAAAAACUAUGUAAACUUUCUAAAUACAAAAUCCCAAAUGUAGAACAAACAUUUGUAAAAGGUAGUAUCGAUGUCAAGAACCCUUAAGACUGAACUUUUCAAUCAAACAUCAAUAGAAUAAUCAAAACAAACAUCCCAUUGGAAAUCAUAAAGGAAUAAAUAAGAAGACUAGACGAAAAGAUUCGGCAAAGAAGAAACCAAAUGAAAAAUAUCUGAAUGCCAAAAUAAACUUGAGGCAUGAUACUACACAGAAUACACUACACCGCAGAAAAUAAAGCCAUGUUUCAAUUCACAUGUCUGGCAAUAAAAGCCAGAAAAAUCAAACCUCAGAAUCAAGAAACUAGAAAGGAUUCAGAAUACAAAACACGAAGAAUAAUAUGCUCACCAACUACCUUUUCCUGCAACACCAGAGGAAAUAAAAAAUCAAUAAUAAUAUGCUUUCAAAAGGGAUAAAGAAUUAUUGAAACCUAAGAGAUCUUAAAAGAGAUCACCAAAUAAAGAACUCAGGCUCCAUGCUCUAUUGAAAAUUAUUUUGACAAACCAAACUGCAGAAAAAAACAGGUUUAGAAUUCAAAUUGUAUGUCUUGUGAUCGAAGUCUGAAAUUAAAAAUAAUAAAGAAAGACUCAUUUGUAUGUCUUGUGAUCAAAUUUUAAAAAUAAAAAUAACCAAGUUCGCAAUAUCUUGUAAUCAAGAAAUGCAAACUGCUCCAGAUACCUAGAAACCAACUUGCUGCAAUACAGAUAGCGCAUGUCAAUAUUCUUUUAAUUUUAACAGCAUAGACCAAUAAAUUUUAACAGCAUUGAACGAUUAUCACCAUUAUUUGACAUCAAUUGCAACGGAGCAAAUCGAGAAAACAAAACCAUAAAGGAGUAAAUUGAGAAAACAGGACAAUAAAACUCUCUAGAGAAGAAAAAAGUACAAGUUUCAAAUUCACAAUUUAAGUAAGGUGAUAAAUGCAAAACAUUACCAUUAUUUGAUGAUAUCAAUCUGCAAUACCUUAAGACAGAAAAUUCACAACCAAACUCCAAGGAGUUGCCAAUAAGCAGCGCAAAACAUCCAUAUGUAAAAUUCACACCAAAACUGCAGGGAGUUGCCAAUAAGUAUUGCAAAACACCCAUAUGUACACACAGAAUAAUAGUUGACGCAAAAGAACAAUCAUUUAAAACCCUAACAAUAAUAAUAGUUGACAGCAACUUCCAAGGUCAAAACUAAAAAAGAAACAUAUUAAACCUAAGAUUCAAGAAACCAAAAAAUCAACAGCCAUGAAGAUCAAACAAGAGGAAAAUAGAACUAGAAGAAAUCGUGUGUAUCCUGCAACACCAAAUCAAGGAAGAUAUGUUUUCAGAAUCGAUAGAAAAAUUGAAAGAAAAAAAAUUAAUAGAGAUCACUAAAUCAAAAAUCAAAAUGAUAAGCUCCAUGCUGUGAAGAAGGUUAUUGAUUGCACAAUCCCACUGCUGAAGAACACGUUCAGAAACCAAUUUCUAUGCCUUGCUAGUUGCAAUCAAAGGCCUGAAAAUAAAAAUAGUAAAAAAAAUGACUCAUUAAAAAAAUUGAUUUAGCUUUCUGGAGUUAUUUUCCGUUCUUGUUGUUGUAUCAAGAGAUUCUGAAUUUAAAGGAAGAAUUAGAUCUAAGUUAUAGAAACCGUUCUUGUUGUUGUAUCAAGAGAUUGUGAAUUUAAAUGAAGAAUUAGAUCUAAGUUAUAGAAACCGUUCUAGUCAACCAAUCUGUAAGAGAGUAUAGAGAAGUAUGAUUAUGUGAACAAGAACAAGUAACUUUAUAAUCAAGAAAUCGAAACACAUCCUCUCCUGCAACACCAAAAAGAAUAAAAAGUCAAGAAAUCGAAAAUCAUAUCCUCUCCUGACAACUUAAAAGAGUAAUGCUUGGGCCAUGGUAAUUGUAUCAAGGAUGGUAUCAUUCUAUGAAUAUGAAUCAUCAUAAAUCACGGAUAAAAGCGACAAAACAGAACCAUUAUAGAAAACCUCCCUGAAUCAUCAUAAAAGGUAUCAACACACAGCGCAAAUCCAUUAAGAAAACACGAUCAGCAAUCUGAGUAAUCCUAUUAAGAGGGAACACAAAUCCACUAAGAAAACACAUUCAGCAAUCUAAACGUAUCAAAACGCAACCCAAAUCCAUUAAGAAACUAUUGAAAAAGUCAUUGUUUCCUUAUUAUUUGGAUGGUCAUUGUUUUCUUAUUAUUUAGAAAUAAAUGGAAGAUUUUAUUACUUUAUAGGAACCGUAAUAAAUGGGUUACAGAUGAUGUAUCAAAUGCUUUGGCUAUAUAAGAUGUAAAAGCUAAAACAAUAUUCAUUCCAACAUUGAAAGCAUUUUC
rnacentral:lncRNA from 1 species